UACGAGGGGUGCAAACGUUAUUCGGAUUUAUUGGGUGUAAAGGGUGUGUAGACGGUUUAUUAAGUUCGUUGUUAAAUCUUCCGGCUCAACCGGAAGCUUGCGGGGAAAACUGAUAGACUAGAGGGUGAAAGAGAGGAGUGGAAUUCUCGGAGUAGCGGUAAAAUGCGUAGAUCUCGAGAGGAACACCGAUGGCGAAAGCAGCUCCUUGGUUCAUUCCUGACGUUGAAACACGAAAGCGUGGGGAGCAAACAGG
rnacentral:rRNA from 1 species